GGCCCUACACGAUCCCCGGGACAGUUAGACUGCCUUCGCCUCCCCAAGAUGGAUACCUGAAGGUUCCCACCUAACCUCAGACAGUUGACCAAUCCCAGCUGGGGAGGGGUUGCCAGGGGAGUUGACCAGGUAGGGUUAGGACCACCCUGCACAAACAAUAGAGGGUGGAACUUACCUGGGAGUCCUCAGUUGGCUCCAGAGCUUCUCCCACCCUGCCCUCCCUCAGUUUAUCUGUGACUGGAUUAAAGACUUUCGAAUAGAUCGGACACAAACAGUGAGGAUUGGACAUGUAACAUCUAAUUCCUUAAAAAUCAGCACUGGCACACCACAGGGAUGUGUGCUAAGUCCCUACCUGUAUUCAUUGUAUACAUACGAUUGUGUAACAUCUGACCCGUCUACUGCAGUUAUUAAGUUUGCAGAUGAUACCACCAUAAUGGGUUUAAUAACAGGUGGAGACGAAUCAGCGUAUAGAGGGGAGGUCCAAAAAAUAUCUACAUGGUGCCUAGGGAACAACUUGCACCUUAAUAUCAGCAAGACAAAGGAGAUGGUGUUGGACUUUCGGAGGAAGAGAGGAGAACUAGCCCCGCUGUACAUCGGGGAGGGCUGUGUGGAGAGAGUCUCUUCCUUCAAAUUCCUAGGAGUUUAUCUCAGUGAAGACCUUACUUGGAAAAUCAAUACAACCCAGGUGGUUAAGAAAGCCCAACAGAGACUCCAUCUCCUCAGAGUAUUGCGAAAGAACGAUGUCAAUCAACAUUUGAUGAUCUCCUUCUACCGGUCCACAAUAGAAAGUGUCCUUUCAUACUGCAUCACGGUGUGGUACGCUGGUUUGACAUCAACUGAUAGGAAGUGCCUACAGAGGGUGGUGAAUACAGCACAAGAUAUUAUGGGCUGUCCCGUGAAUCCUCUGGAUGAAAUAGUGGAAGAACGUUGCCUCAGGAGAGUGAGGAAAAUUCUCAGGGAUGAUUCACACCCUGGCCGGCACUUUCUUGAUCUCCUGCCCUCGGGCAGAAGAUAUAGAAGCAUGAUUAGUUGCACCAACAGGGUAAAGAACAGCUUCUAUCCAUGGGCUGUUAGGCUGCUGAAUGAAAAGAUAACAACAGGGCAACUGACUUUUGGGUUUGGUGGGUGUGCGUCAGUAAACGAGGGGAAUUAAGACUAAGAGAGCUGAGUGGGGGGUGCUCGUGUAAUCUCACUGUAUACAAGUUGUACAAGUGACAAUAAAGUAUUCCAAUUUCAAUUUAUGCCUUCCUUUUGCAGGUUAACCUCUUCUUUACAGGUAUGCGGGUUCUGCUACGGUCAUUGAUGGUUGCUGUUGAAGGACCGGGAAGGAAUUUCCCUGCAUCGGCAGGUUUUGCCUUCCCCAUAGCAAAACAUCACAACUUUGGCGGUUUCAGGUCUUGGGCGGAAUCCUAUCUAUCUAUCCUCCCCAAAUGGGGACGGGGGGGCAUGAAGCAGUGACCCACG
rnacentral:lncRNA from 1 species